rnacentral:rRNA from 1 species
AUAAGAGUUUGAUCAUGGCUCAGAUUGAACGCUGGCGGCAGGCCUAACACAUGCAAGUCGAGCGGUAGAGAGAAGCUUGCUUCUCUUGAGAGCGGCGGACGGGUGAGUAAUGCCUAGGAAUCUGCCUGGUAGUGGGGGAUAACUKUUCGGAAACGGACGCUAAUACCGCAUACGUCCUACGGGAGAAAGCAGGGGACCUUCGGGCCUUGCGCUAUCAGAUGAGCCUAGGUCGGAUUAGCUAAUUGGUGGGGUAAUGGCUCACCAAGGCGACGAUCCGUAACUGGUCUGAGAGGAUGAUCAGUCACACUGGAACUGAGACACGGUCCAGACUCCUACGGGAGGCAGCAGUGGGGAAUAUUGGACAAUGGGCGAAAGCCUGAUCCAGCCAUGCCGCGUGUGUGAAGAAGGUCUUCGGAUUGUAAAGCACUUUAAGUUGGGAGGAAGGGUUGUAGAUUAAUACUCUGCAAUUUUGACGUUACCGACAGAAUAAGCACCGGCUAACUCUGUGCCAGCAGCCGCGGUAAUACAGAGGGUGCAAGCGUUAAUCGGAAUUACCGGGCGUAAAGCGCGCGUAGGUGGUUUGUUAAGUUGGAUGUGAAAUCCCCGGGCUCAACCUGGGAACUGCAUUCAAAACUGGCUGACUAGAGUAUAGUAGAGGGUGGUGGAAUUUCCUGUGUAGCGGUGAAAUGCGUAGAUAUAGGAAGGAACACCAGUG